rnacentral:rRNA from 1 species
GACGGAGGGUGCUAGCGUUGUUCGGAAUGACUGGGCGUAAAGGGUGCGUAGGCGGUUGUUUAAGUUUGGUGUGAAAUCUCCCGGCUCAACUGGGAGGGUGCGCCGAAUACUGAAUGACUAGAGUGCGGGAGAGGAGAGUGGAAUUCCUGGUGUAGCGGUGAAAUGCGUAGAUAUCAGGAGGAACACCGGUGGUGUAGACGGCUCUCUGGACCGUAACUGACGCUGAGGCACGAAAGCGUGGGUAGCAAACAGG